rnacentral:rRNA from 1 species
UUUGAUCAUGGCUCAGAUUGAACGCUGGCGGCAGGCCUAACACAUGCAAGUCGAACGGUAACAGGAAGCAGCUUGCUGCUUUGCUGACGAGUGGCGGACGGGUGAGUAAUGUCUGGGAAACUGCCUGAUGGAGGGGGAUAACUACUGGAAACGGUGGCUAAUACCGCAUAACGUCGCAAGACCAAAGAGGGGGACCUUCGGGCCUCUUGCCAUCAGAUGUGCCCAGAUGGGAUUAGCUUGUUGGUGAGGUAACGGCUCACCAAGGCGACGAUCCCUAGCUGGUCUGAGAGGAUGACCAGCCACACUGGAACUGAGACACGGUCCAGACUCCUACGGGAGGCAGCAGUGGGGAAUAUUGCACAAUGGGCGCAAGCCUGAUGCAGCCAUGCCGCGUGUAUGAAGAAGGCCUUCGGGUUGUAAAGUACUUUCAGCGGGGAGGAAGGUGUUGUGGUUAAUAACCGCAGCAAUUGACGUUACCCGCAGAAGAAGCACCGGCUAACUCCGUGCCAGCAGCCGCGGUAAUACGGAGGGUGCAAGCGUUAAUCGGAAUUACUGGGCGUAAAGCGCACGCAGGCGGUCUGUCAAGUCGGAUGUGAAAUCCCCGGGCUCAACCUGGGAACUGCAUUCGAAACUGGCAGGCUUGAGUCUUGUAGAGGGGGGUAGAAUUCCAGGUGUAGCGGUGAAAUGCGUAGAGAUCUGGAGGAAUACCGGUGGCGAAGGCGGCCCCCUGGACAAAGACUGACGCUCAGGUGCGAAAGCGUGGGGAGCAAACAGGAUUAGAUACCCUGGUAGUCCACGCCGUAAACGAUGUCUACUUGGAGGUUGUGCCCUUGAGGCGUGGCUUCCGGAGCUAACGCGUUAAGUAGACCGCCUGGGGAGUACGGCCGCAAGGUUAAAACUCAAAUGAAUUGACGGGGGCCNNNNNNNNNNNNNNNNNNNNNNNNNNNNNNNNNNNNNNNNNGAAGAACCUUACCUGGUCUUGACAUCCACAGAAGAAUCCAGAGAUGGAUUUGUGCCUUCGGGAACUGUGAGACAGGUGCUGCAUGGCUGUCGUCAGCUCGUGUUGUGAAAUGUUGGGUUAAGUCCCGCAACGAGCGCAACCCUUAUCCUUUGUUGCCAGCGGUUAGGCCGGGAACUCAAAGGAGACUGCCAGUGAUAAACUGGAGGAAGGUGGGGAUGACGUCAAGUCAUCAUGGCCCUUACGACCAGGGCUACACACGUGCUACAAUGGCGCAUACAAAGAGAAGCGACCUCGCGAGAGCAAGCGGACCUCAUAAAGUGCGUCGUAGUCCGGAUUGGAGUCUGCAACUCGACUCCAUGAAGUCGGAAUCGCUAGUAAUCGUGGAUCAGAAUGCCACGGUGAAUACGUUCCCGGGCCUUGUACACACCGCCCGUCACACCAUGGGAGUGGGUUGCAAAAGAAGUAGGUAGCUUAACCUUCGGGAGGGCGCUUACCACUUUGUGAUUCAUGACUGGGGUGAAGUCGUAACAAGGUAACCGUAGGGGAACCUGCGGUUGGAUCACCUCCUUACCUUAAAGAAGC